GCUAUUGGUUGCGAUAGAUUAAG
rnacentral:siRNA from 1 species